UACGUAGGGUCCGAGCGUUGUCCGGAAUCAUUGGGCGUAAAGAGCUCGUAGGCGGUCUGGCGCGUCGGCUGUGAAAACUCAGGGCUCAACCCUGAGCCUGCAGUCGAUACGGGCAGACUAGAGUUCGGUAGGGGAGACUGGAAUUCCUGGUGUAGCGGUGAAAUGCGCAGAUAUCAGGAGGAACACCGGUGGCGAAGGCGGGUCUCUGGGCCGAUACUGACGCUGAGGAGCGAAAGCGUGGGGAGCGAACAGG
rnacentral:rRNA from 1 species